AGCAAGGAAACUCAUGUCAGUCUUUUAUUUCCAGUGUGAAGUUUGCAUACUCUACACUGAGCAUGAGGAAAUAUUUGCAUUUCCAUAUGCAUCUGAAAGAAGGCAAAUCAGAGGUCCAGUCCACUCAAAAAAAAAAUGAUGCCUCAGAAAUCAAAGCACAGUUGAGAUGAUCCAAUGUUGAAAUUGGCUAUCAACAUGGCAUAAUGAAACAAGCAAUUUCCAAUAAUUCAUACACUGCAAGUCCAAUUAGGUAGGAUAAUAGUAUGGUUGCAUUUGCUCUUAGGAAGCUCGAGACUUAAAGCAGAUGUCGAAUCAUCUGAAGGUUCUUGAUGCCCAUUUCGUUUUAAAUGUUUUCUGAGCAUGAUUUACCCACUAUAUCAACUUCUUUUAUAUGUUCUGACCACAAUCAACCUGCAGUACAGGCCUAUACUUUGAGGCGGCUUUGAAGUUUCUUUAUGUUGAGUCUCUUUUGGAAACUCCUAAAUAUGUCUCAUUUUAUAUAUACAAUUUCAGUAUAUAUUUCCCCAAAUAAAAUGAAUGUAUGCUGUGUGAACUGAGUUCGCAUUAUGAUUCUAUGCCUGGUGCUAGAAAAAAAUUCUAUGUUUUGUAACAGGACAGGUGAUUAAAUAUGCUUUAGUCACCAAAUUUAUAUCUUCCUUGUGAGUUCGAGAGGGGCAAAUUAGCAGCAGUAACAAAGUAGUAGUAGCAGCAGCAUUAUGCAGCAAACAGUAGGGAAGCAGGAGGUAUACAUAUUCUAGUCAAAAAUCAUUCUAUCUAGAAGUUUGUUAGUCUUUAGGUUGAGAUAACAGUUCAGAUCUAAACCAAGUUACUAAUUUACUUGGGUCCGACAUAGUUACGUUACAGCUAACCACAAGUAUGGGAAACGAACAGUAGGAUAUAAAAAAUGAGCAGAAUAUCCCAUCUAAUGUUGAACGCCUAUGCGUCAAGAUACCUUACAUAAAGAAAGGAUCAAUAUAAUAAGAUGACGAUAUAACUACAGCAGAUGGUAUAUUUGAAACCCCAUCAAGUAAAAUUCCAUGAUCACACUAAUGCCAACUGAUAAGACCACAUUGUGAGCUUAAACAACGUAACACAAAUCAGCCGAGCUAGCCGGUAAAUUCAAUCAGUAACUCACACAAUUCAGACUUAACAAAUAUUUUAAGGUGUAGUGUAGAAUCCUAGUGAAUGACAAAUAAAGGCUAAGAUGAAUUAUUUUGGAUUUUUAGUUGCCUAGAGAAUAAUCAACACUCAUAAUCACUCGUACCAAACUGCAGAUUCACUGUGCAACCCACAAUAAUGUGCGUGAGCAAUUAACCAAUCAGCCACAUACAAUUCAGAUUAGCAGAAAAGAGAACCGCUACACUGUUGGCUCCACUGAAAACAACCGAGAAACAGAAAUAUUCAAGGGGCCAGGUUCAUUGUGAUUUUUACCUUGUGCAGACUGAGCCUUGUCAUAUUGGCUUCACACGGAUGAUUCUGCCUUCCUUGCAUCCAACCAAUGUAGUUGCACUUGCACUUGCAUAGUCAGAUUGGUACACAGCAGUUGUAGUCAUUC
rnacentral:lncRNA from 1 species